GAUGAACGCUAGCGGCAGGCCUAAUACAUGCAAGUCGAACGAGAUUGAGGAGCUUGCUCUUCAUGAAAGUGGCGCACGGGUGCGUAACGCGUAUGCAACCUACCUUAAUCAGGGGGAUAGCCUCUCGAAAGAGAGAUUAACACCGCAUAACAUUAUUAUAUGGCAUCAUAUGAUAAUCAAAUAUUUAUAGGAUUAAGAUGGGCAUGCGUGACAUUAGUUAGUUGGCGGGGUAACGGCCCACCAAGACGAUGAUGUCUAGGGGAUCUGAGAGGAUGACCCCCCACACUGGUACUGAGACACGGAGCAGACUCCUACGGGAGGCAGCAGUAAGGAAUAUUGGUCAAUGGGCGCAAGCCUGAACCAGCCAUGCCGCGUGCAGGAAGACGGCCCUACGGGUUGUAAACUGCUUUUAUACUGGAAUAAACCUACCUACGUGUAAGUAGCUGAAUGUACAGUAAGAAUAAGGAUCGGCUAACUCCGUGCCAGCCGCCGCGGUAAUAC
rnacentral:rRNA from 1 species